rnacentral:rRNA from 1 species
GACGAACGCUGGCGGCGUGCUUAACACAUGCAAGUCGAACGGAAAGGCCCUGCUUUUGUGGGGUGCUCGAGUGGCGAACGGGUGAGUAACACGUGAGUAACCUGCCCUUGACUUUGGGAUAACUUCAGGAAACUGGGGCUAAUACCGGAUAGGAGCUCCUGCUGCAUGGUGGGGGUUGGAAAGUUUCGGCGGUUGGGGAUGGACUCGCGGCUUAUCAGCUUGUUGGUGGGGUAGUGGCUUACCAAGGCUUGGACGGGUAGCCGGCCUGAGAGGGUGACCGGCCACAGUGGGACUGAGAGACGGCACAGACUCCUAAGGGAGGAAGGAGUGGGGAAUAUUGAAGAAUGGGAGGAAGCCGGAGGCAGCAACGGCGCGUGCGGGAUGACGGCCUUCGGGUUGUAAACCGCUUUCGCCUGUGACGAAGCGGGAGUGACGGUAAUGGGUAAAGAAGCACCGGCUAACUACGUG